GGCCUGGUAGCUCAGUUGGUAGAGCACUUGAUUGAAGCUCAAGGUGUCGGCAGUUCGAUUCUGUCCCAGGCCA
rfam:Carnobacterium inhibens subsp. gilichinskyi strain WN1359, complete genome.